UACGGGGGGGGGGGUAAGCGUUGUUCGGAAUUACUGGGCGUAAAGGGCGCGUAGGCGGCCUACUAAGUCGAACGUGAAAUCCCUGGGCUCAACCCAGGAACUGCGUCCGAUACUGGUUGGCUUGAAUCCGGGAGAGGGACGUGGAAUUCCAGGUGUAGCGGUGAAAUGCGUAGAUAUCUGGAGGAACACCGGUGGCGAAGGCGACGUCCUGGACCGGCAUUGACGCUGAGGCGCGAAAGCCAGGGGAGCAAACGGG
rnacentral:rRNA from 1 species